AAUGUCUCAAUUUGGGUAAUAAAUAAAUUCCCAAAAUUAGUGUAAAUUAAUACGUAAAUUCAGGAUAUAAAUUAGAACUUUUUUUAAAUAUUGUUGUAUAGUUUAAUCACAAAAAUAGCCUCAAUGAAGCAACCCUUUUACCAGCUAAAUGUUAAAAUUAAAUCUUUAUCGUCCAUUGAUCAACAGUUAAGAUUUUUUUUUUUAUUUUUUAUACAAUAAAGUACCGAAUCAUUUCUCUUAAGAUAUU
rnacentral:lncRNA from 1 species